ACAGGCUGGGGAAGGUGAAGGGAGGAAGUAUAGAGUCGGAGGCUUUUUCGGGUAGAGCGGCGCCGCUUCCUGUGUUAGGCGCUGAGGUUGAUGGGAAAAUGCGGAUAUCCAGGAAGUGAGAGGAAGGGGUCGCUCUGGGCAGAGGGGGGGUGGGAUCCAUCCCUGGGCAGCAGCUCAUAGACAAAACAGAUUGAUUCCCGGUGACCAUGGCUGUCUACAGCUAUAACCUCUUCUGUGCUGUUGCAAGGUCCAGGGGACCUCAUCUCCUUGUCCACUCCAACUGUUCUCCGUUAUCCCCAUUAGUUGCAUUUGUCCAUCUGGUGGAUUCCCACCUUAAUCGCACACCUCACAGGGACUUUGAAAGCCAACAGCCUUUCUGCAGAAUACGGCCGGGCGUUGGGCUGCCUCACUUGGGGAAUAAGCCUCUGCGAAUGCUUCACACAUCUUCGUACUGGCACCAGGAACUCCAGGACAAGCCUCCGCCUGAUCAAAGCACUACAAAAAUGGACAGUGAGGUGCCCAAGGUUCCCGUUGACCAAGCCACCGCAGUUGCCAAGAAAUCACUCCGACAGAAGAUUGUAGAUGAACUGAAACACUAUUACAAUGGAUUCCACUUGCUUUGGAUAGAUACCAAAGUUGCUGCUAGGAUGGUGUGGAGACUGUUACACGGGCAAGUGCUCACUCGGAGGGAAAGGCGAAGGCUGAUGAGAACGUCUGCUGAUCUCUUCCGACUGGUCCCCUUCCUGGUGUUCAUCAUUGUACCCUUUAUGGAAUUCCUUUUGCCAGUGUUUUUGAAACUGUUCCCUGAAAUGCUUCCUUCAACCUUUGAAACUGAAUCCAAAAAGGAAGAAAAGCAAAGGAAGAAACUGAGUGCCAAGCUGGAGCUAGCCAAGUUCUUACAGGAGACCAUUGCGGAGUUGGCCAGAAGGAACAAAGCCAGUACAGGAGAAGCCACACAGCAAUUCUCUUCCUUUGUUCAAAAGGUUCGACACAGUGGCCAGCAGCCCAGCACCCAGGAGAUUGUACAAUUUUCCAAGCUUUUUGAAGACGAACUGACCCUGGAGCACUUGGAGAGGCCGCAGCUGGUCAUCCUCUGCAAACUGCUGGAACUGCAACCCAUUGGCACCAAUAACCUCCUCCGCUUCCAGCUUUUGAUGAAGCUCAGGACUAUCAAAGCAGACGACGAAAUGAUUUCCAGGGAAGGUGUCAAUGGGCUGAGUGUGUCUGAGCUCCAGGCCGCAUGCAGGACAAGAGGCAUGAGGUCCUUGGGCAUUACGGAGGAGCAGCUGAAGGAACAACUCAACCAGUGGCUGGACCUGCAUCUUAGGGAGAACGUGCCUCCUUCUUUGUUGCUGCUCUCCCGUGCCUUGUAUUUGACAGAGGUGAAGCCCAUACCGAUUUCUGUGACUCCAGCACCUGAGCCUUUCAAGAGCGAGAAAGUACGUGUUGCCGACCAUGAAACCUUGUUGGAUUCUGCUCCUAAAGUCCAGGAAAGAAAGGAGCCUGUGGAUUGUUAAGUGACUUUGUUCCCCCCCUUCUCUUUCCUCUGAAGACUGAAGAAUUUAUUUUGCAGCCAAAAGAGACCUCACCGGUCCCUGAAGUAGCAGUCAAGCCUCCUGGAAGUGAGACAAAAUUAGAAGCCUCUCAAAGCAGCAAAGCCAGUGCUAAUGGAGUCUAACCAUUCUCCUAGCAUGGACUUGAGAAUGGGAGGAAACGGUUCCGUGUCUGGACCUGAUCUAGACUUGCGAAAGACGGGCAUUUAUCGUAGUUGAGCUCCUGUCUGCUUGCAAUUUUCCUCCUUCCUUUGAAACUGCUUUGAUGUGACCUGGAUGAUUUUCUUCGCAUCUAAGCUAGACGAAAAGCACCUUGCAUUUAGUGGCAAACCUCUCUCUGUUUACCUUACUUUGUGUAACGUAACUUAUUUUUUGUAGAUAUGUACAUAAUCUAUGACCAAGACGUACUGUUUAAUUUAUGCAAUAUUGCCAGGUGUUAAGAUUUGUAUUUCCUAAAAGAUUUUAAGUAAAGCAGUGAUUUAUUCUUAGCUUUUCUUUCUAAACAAAAGUCUAAGUAAUGACAGAGCACUUUUGUGUGGGAACAUUCAUGAAUGUUGGACUUCCUAAACCACAUAAGACAAUAUGCUUGGACUUUAAGCUGAUUUGCAGACUGGUCCCAGGCAUCUUUCCUCAGAAUUAACUUGUAUGGAGAUGUUUUUUCAUAUAAAGAAGCACUCCAAAUAUUGGUGCGUAGCCUCCAUGAAACCAGUGGGAUGAUCACAUUCCAAUAACUGUUGGCACAGUGACAUUAGUGGUUCUAUUUAAUGCAUUACUAUGGAGUUCCAUAAGUGUUCCUUUGCAUUUCCCUUUGCAGUGCCUAUAGACCUGUACUAUCUUCUUCUCUCUGUCUCAUUUUGGGGGGGGAAACAGUCACUCCAGUUACUUGUUAUGUGUCGCACAGAGGACCAACGCCAUGGCAAAGUCCAAAAUCACAUCAUUAUUUAAAUAGCUUUCUGAUCAAAGGAUGGAUUAAGCUGUAAGGAUCCAGACCAGCCAGUUAACGUCAGUUGUAACCAUAUUACCUGCUUUAAUUGCAUAUUGAAAUUGCAUUAGCCUAUGGCGGAUGGCUCUGGGAAAGGAGGAAGAGUUUGAAAGGUCUUUACUGUUGGGACCGUGAGGGUCUUCUAAGAGCAGCAAAUGACAGCUAUGGAGUCCAAAAGGUCAAUUUAGCAUAUUUUUGCUGGUCUCAAUGUAGCUGAUUUGCUGGGCAAUGAACGUCAAAACUAAGACACCAGAUGUCCAAUGAUCUUAUGGUGAAUAAUCAAUUUUAAUAUUAUUUUGGUUUUGUCCCGGAAAUCAAUCCUCCUGACAGAUCUUCCAAAGGAACAACAGAAUCAAAAUGUUAGCCUUUUGAACUGUCCCCUCCCCGCUUUCCCUGGGUGAUGCCAAGCUUGGCUCAUUUUAAAAAUCUGCUGUAACUUUUAAAAUAGUAGAUCUGUCUAUUUAGGGCUAGUUUUUUAACCAAACUGACCAGGCAGGAUAUACAGUUGGCUUGGCCUAUUCUAAGACUUCUUUGGAGCUCAAGGGUGUGAUGAGGAUGUGAUUUCUUUGCUUGAGCAGAACCAUAAGCUACUGUUGCUGAGGCAGCUUUUCUAUUUGGUGUGUUACAUUCAGACUUCGCAACUGAAGCCCUGUUUGGGCUGGGCAAGUCCAAUAAAUAGCCAUACUGUGC